rnacentral:antisense_RNA from 1 species
UUUCGCGUUGGGUUUGUUAUCUACGAUGGCAUUGCCCACUGCGUGUAAUAGGUGGGUUUUACCCAGACCUGUACCACCAUA